AUUAAAUAGCUGUGCAGUAGGUCAUUAAAUAGCUGUGCAAUAGGUCAUUAAAUAGCUGUGCAGUAGGUCAUUAAAUAGCUGUGCAGUAGGUCAUUAAAUAGCUGUGCAGUAGGUCAUUAAAUAGCUGUGCAGUAGGUCAUUAAAUAGCUG